CCGUAGUUUAGAGGUAAGACAUAUAUUCCUCCCUGAAUAUUUUUCCCCUCUCUCUAAACUGCAAUGUUGUGUUUGCAUAUUGGCUCGACUGUUAGAGCCCGAUCAUUGAUAUCAACUUAUUGAUACCAAUGCUCAAUAUUUCCUGUGUUUUUGACCUAUGGUUAAAAAAGAUUAGUUAGCACCGUUUAAUACGGUGCUUUUUUUU
rnacentral:other from 1 species